UACGUAGGCAGCAAGCGUUGUUCGGAGUUACUGGGCGUAAAGGGUGUGUAGGCGGUUGUUUAAGUUUGGUGUGAAAUCUCCCGGCUCAACUGGGAGGGUGCGCCGAAUACUGAAUGACUUCGAGUGCGGGAGAGGAAAGUGGAAUUCCUGGUGUAGCGGUGAAAUGCGUAGAUAUCUGGAGGAACACCGGUGGCGAAGGCGGCAUCCUGGACCAACACUGACGCUGAGGAGCGAAAGCCAGGGGAGCAAACGGG
rnacentral:rRNA from 1 species